UAAAAAAAAAGAAAUACGUUUCAACGAGUAAAGUGGAGAACGGUUUUGUACAUUGGCACGCAAUGUUUAUGAUUUUACAGGAUGCAGUAGUUAGAGGGAAGCUACGAGUAUCGUGCGCUUUAUGGAAUUUCUGUCGCCCCUUUAACAAUAAUUUCGCGAGCACACUAUCGGAGGGUAAAAAGCAUUUUCCGAGAAGAGCGUAAGAGGAGGCAAGAAAGGGGAUCGUCUAAGAGACAACAUCCGAGAAAAAGAGAACGUCGAAGAGAAGCUGAGAGGGGUUGGUGCCAUCUUGUCCAGCAAGGAUUCCACGUCGUAUGAGGUCCUACGGUUUAAUAAUACAUCUCAGGACCGUUAAUCACCCUCGUGAAAUAUAAUUUAAUACCUGAGCGAACGAGUGCCGACCACUAAAAAUGACGAACGGCCAGGAAACACGCGGCUAACUCACCAGCCAGCCCCUUCAGCGCUCUGCUAUAAUCACCCCUUGCUGGUGGACGUGCAAUAACGAUAAAGGGUUGGGUAGUCCUGAACGAGUCUUUUGGUGUGACCGCUCGUGAAAGGCAUAUAUACUAGUUGGCUGUGCAUUACGUUCGUCCAAUGCCACCGUACUCAAUAGCCCCAAUUCGCAGGAUUCCUUCACGUUGGUAUAAAGGCCCUCCCACACCACUUUUGACUUUUCAACCUCUUCUUUUUUAUCUUCUUCUUCCUUCUCUCUCUCUCUCUCUCUGCCUUCGUUCGUUUUUCACUAUUAACGCCUUUUGCCCUAGGUAAUACACGAGCUUCAUACAUCGUAUCGAUAGCGUUGAUCUAGCUAGUUGGAUCGUCGAAGUCACUCGGUGGAAAGAUCGUUCUCUCUUCCUUUUUUAUUAGUCAGAGAUCGUAUUGACGGUCCUGGUCGUUCCUUCUGGUUCCUCUUUCUUUCUCUUUCAAACCACCCUCGUCUAGCCGAGUGACGGCCAACGAAAUCGGGUUAAUGUCCACGACAAUGACCACGAUUUCGUCCAAUGAAAGCGUUCACGGGCGAUCUUCCUUCCGGAGCGGAGGCGCGCUUUUUAUCGGCACCGACUGGCCGAACUGGCGAACUAGCAAUUGCGGAGGGGUGGUUUCCAGGCUGUAAUGGACUUCCAUGUACAAGGUGUUCACCACCGUUCCGGAACUCUCGUUACAAUCCUUUUAACGAGAUCUUUUUACCGGCUCGACCGAGUCGUUUGUUAUAGUACAUACACUGGAGAGGGUCAUCGCGUCAUUUCAUGUUACUUUUUUUAGUUUUAUGUAGCUAUUCGGGAAUCUAGUCCUCCAUGAGCAUUUAACUUUUAUACUAUUGUACUGUAGAUACAUGGAAAUGAAAAUAAAGAAACUAAGAAUGUGAGCAAACAAACUGAAGUUGCAAGGGUACAAAUAAUUUUUAAAAUUUUGUUGUUGUUGUUUAAUUGUCUGACUAAUUCACUACUAGUAUUAAUUUUAAAUAGAAAAAUUUCUAUCCUUGUUUUUACCAGUUUUCCUUACGAGGGUUCAUCCUCGAAUUGUUCAUUAAUUGAUCUUCCAAAAAUAGAUCGUUUCGUUAAUUGAUAUUAUGACAAUGGAGAUUAUACGAUGCUUAAUCAUGUUUCUAUCUGAAUGUCAAUAAUAAUUUUGCCAAAGUUUAUGCAUGUUUUUAGUAAAUGAAAAAGCAAAGAAUCUUCGUAACUCUAGUGUCUAUUCAUUUAUUAUCGAUGAUGUAUAACAUUUGCGAAGAAUUAUCUGUCAUUUUUUGUAGCGUUUCAAAUAUCAUUACCUAAUCAUUUUACGUUUGACAUAAUGAACCGUUCACAAAGAGGGUGGUAAGCUACAUGAGUCGUUCUAGUUUAUCAUAAUGGCUAUAAAUAAAGGCAUUAAGUAUGGCCAUGAACGAACUACUCGAUCGUGUAGACUUCCCUUCUUCCAGACCUCCCCAGUUUCUACAUAAAUUGCCGAAAUAUCUACACGAGCUGUCGAACGUGAGCCACAGCAUAGCAGGGGUUCUUUAGACGGGGUAAUAAAGAUAUAAGACAACGUUUUAUAGGCUGACGUCGUAGCUGGGUUCGAAAGCGCUUGGCAGAUGCCAUUAGCGAUGGUUACGAAUAAUGUUUGAACAAAUACAACAUCAUAUCCAAUACAUUAUUUCUCUCAUUUUCUCAAAUAAAUCCUAAUUUUGAACUAUUUAUUUCCAGCCUCUUUUCUCCUAAUAACAUUUAAUAUCGGAUAUCGAAAUCAUUAAGCGUACGAUAAAAAAUUCCUCUUGAUAGAAAGUUCUAAAAGUUAUUUUCUACGCUCGACUUCCAUUUAGAAUUUAGGGCAGCUCCCCAGAAACCAUAGACUGAUGUUUUCGAAGAAAGAUACCCGGGUCGGUUCAUAAAUCAUUAUUUGAUUUCGUAACAAUGAUAUUAUCCCAGUUGAUUUUGUUCCACGCGAGGAAUGCUCCUUUUUUCCCCUCUUAACCAUUUCUCAAUUUACGAGAGCAAACCGUUGUUAGCGCAACAUUCAGCCAGGAGAGGAGAGGUUGAUUUAUGCGUGGUUCAAACAAGCCACUAACCUUCGUACGUUCGCGGUCAAAGCGACUUAAUACGAGUCGAUGAAAUAUUUAUACGCGGGAGCAUCCUUAUUUGGUUUUUCUUCCAGGGAAGAACCAUGCCUCUCGCAAUCAAAUUUUGAUGAGCUAUUAACAGGAGAGAUUCAUAGAGGAGACUAUACACAUCGAAGACAAUCAUGGUAGAGAGACUUGUAACGAAGGUUUAUGAAAAAGGUAUGCUAAACGCGAUCGUAUCUUCGUUAUGGGAAAGAAGGACACGCGAUGACCACGUAACGUAUGUAUAUCGUUAUCCGUGGAAGAUGUAAAUUCAGUAGGAGAACUUCAUUUUCAUCCAUCUUGCUUUGUCCCUGUCACGCUGAACGUAGAUUCUAGCCGCUGGUAUGAAAAAUAGACGUUCACCUUUAACGGUACAUAAUGCUUCGAAACGAUGAACAAUAUUUCCUGCUACGCGGCAUCGUUAGAAUGAGAAUAAAUUUCCAUUUUGAGCACGCAGACGACACAGUAUAUUAAACUGCUCCCUUCUAAAUUUCCCGCCCAAGACUCGGCGCGAUAUAUUUCAGACUGAAACCCUCUUAAAGAGAUCCCUCUGAACUCCCUGUUGUACAUUUGUCGCCUGGUAUAAUAAUUCAAUUGACUGUCUUUCGUUAUUAAUGUAUCUAUCGAUUCUCCUUUCUUUCUUCAGAAUUUUUACGACAGUCGUCUGUCAAUUAGCCUGUCAAUUUUCCAACACUUUUCAAAUGGACCGGGAUAUUACUCUGGUGAAAGAUAGUAAGUGGAGAUGGCUGUUGAGCAAUCAAUUUGUGGCAAUCAAUUUGUAGAAAAUUGCUUUUAUUGCUCACUAUGUUCUCUAUGUUUUAUUUAAAGACAGGAAAAUGUUAUUCACUUUUUUUCACCAGAUAUAUAUUUCUCUGUUGAAUUAGAAUGAGAAAUUGUUACAACUGGUAAUAUAUUGUACGCGUCAUAUGAUUCGACCCGAUCUACUCCACUUUUUGUGUAUUUCUUAAUUUCAUUGCAUAGGUAUACAAUUACUUCCAUGAGUUCAAUCACUGCAAGAAGAUAACCAUAAAUAAAAUAGAUUUUAAGGUAAAUUUAAGAUAUAGUCUCUAUUAAAAUCAAUUUCCAAUCGGUUGGAAAUAAAAUCGUGUAGAAUAAGUGCUACAGAGAAUACUGCGUGAAAUUCAAACGCAAUAUUACUUUUCAGAUAAAAAGAAAAAAAGUGUAAUUUACCAGUUUUAUACUAUUUUACGGUUAUUGCCUUUUUCCAGAAUUUAACAUCGUGUUCUUUUUACAAUCUCGAAUAAACUAUCGCUAUAACUUCCAUAAUAGAUCUAAUUACGAAAUUCUGUCUCCGCUCAUAUAUCUUGCCCCCGUCUAAGUGAAACGAUCGUAAAAAAAUGAUGUCCACAAUUCAUGGCCGUAAGACAGAUCUCUUAUCUCUUUCGCCCUCCAACGAAUCCUCUAUUCGCGAUGUUUCGCGUCAGCUGAAAAAUCUAGGCCGAUUGGUGCUCGCUGAAACCGUAUAUAAUGUCGGUGUGGCGGCCGUUUAAAAAUUGAACAAGCCAGCUAUCGAAGCAGGGUUGCACCCCAUAAAUUAUCCGCAGGGGGUCGAGCGAUUCUUCUCGCGAGGCAGAUGACUCCGGGCAACCAAAGUCGCCUGGGAUCAUGAGUUAUGGCUGUACAGUGACUCUGCAACACGUUGUUGAUCGGCGUUCGCUUUGUGACAUCGCUUUUAAGCCGACCGGCCUUCUAUCUCGCGGCGUUUCCUUGACAUUUAUAUUUCUGACAUCGCGGGAGAGAUAUAUAACCACGAGCCGAGAUUUCAAACUGAACAUCCUAACAGAGGAGGGUGAUCGUUAAACGGAUCGAUACCUCGUUACGUAAUGAGCAAUUCUUUGUUCAUCCUCGACGACGCAAUUGAAAACGGUGUUUCAUUGUUAAGGAGACAAGAGAAAGGGAGAGUUUCAACGUUCGAUCCUUUUCUCUCGAGACCUCAUCUUUCCUUCUUCUCUUAUAGUUUCUUUCUCCCUUCCGGAUGUAUACGUCGAGAGGAUCCCGUGUUUGAAUGUAACCUCCGAGUGGGAGGAUCGUUAUGUUCUUAUCCGGUGAUUCGAUGAACAAGAGAGGGGAGAGAAGGGAAUAAUAGCGAUUGGGAGGCGGCUUUUUCCAAUCGAACGAUCCUCGCGAGAUUAACGCCGGCCGUAAAUGCGGUAUUACGCUUAAAACGACGCAACGAUCAUCGUGAUGAAGUUUGUCGAUGCUCGAUAACAAUCCAAUCUAUGUAAUUUGCCGAUUUGCGCGACAAAGAGUAUCCGCGAUUGCGGCGUCGAAAUUUGUAUGGAUGUCCAACGAGGCAACGAAAUACGGCGUAAUAAUUUAUUAUGUUUCGUACGUAUUGAUAAUAUUUCGUUUCCGGCGGAAACGCGGAUAAAUAACAAUGCGGAAGUUGCACUUCCGUUGUGAAAAUUUCCACAUUUCGUAAAUACGGCUGUUUAAUUUCUCAUUUCCUCUUUAUUAAUUAAGGUGAAUUUACACUAAACAACUUUUACAAA